GAUGAACGCUGGCGGCGUGCCUAAUACAUGCAAGUCGAGCGAACGGACGAGAAGCUUGCUUCUCUGAUGUUAGCGGCGGACGGGUGAGUAACACGUGGAUAACCUACCUAUAAGACUGGGAUAACUUCGGGAAACCGUAGCUAAUACCGGAUAAUAUUUUGAACCGCAUGGUUCAAAAGUGAAAUACGGUCUUGCUGUCACUUAUAGAUGGAUCCGCGCUGCAUUAGCUAGUUGGUAAGGUAACGGCUUACCAAGGCAACGAUGCAUAGCCGACCUGAGAGGGUGAUCGGCCACACUGGAGCUGGGACACCGUCCAGACUCCUACGGGAGGCAGCAGUCGGGAAUCUUCCGCAGUGGGCGAAAGCAUGACGGAGCAACGCCGCGUGAGUGAUGAAGGUCUUCGGAUCGUAAAACUCUGUUAUUAGGGAAGAACAUAUGUGUAAGUAACUGUGCACAUCUUGACGGUACCUAAUCAGAAAGCAACGGCUAACUACGUG
rnacentral:rRNA from 1 species